CUUUCAUCAAGAGGCUCUUUAGUUCCUCUUCGCUUUCUGCCAUAGGGGUGGUGUCACCUGCGUAUCUGAGGUUAUUGAUAUUUUUCCCGGCAGUCUUGAUUCCAGCUUGUGCUUCAGCCAGCCAGACAUUUCGCAUGGUGUAAUCUGAAUAAGUUAAAUAAGCAGGGUGACAAUAUACAACC